GUCUACUGCCAUGCCACCCUGAACAAACCCUAUCCCAUCUGAUCUUGGGAGCUUAGCAGGAUCGGGUCAGUGCUUGGAUGGGAGACCACCUAGGAAGACCAGGUGCUGUAGGCG
rnacentral:rRNA from 1 species